rnacentral:ncRNA from 1 species
AUAAAUUAUAGUGUUAAAUUUAAAUUUAUUUUAAUAAUAAAUUUUAAAAAAUAAUUAGUAAUUAAUAUUAAAUUAUUUAAGAAAUUAAUAUUUAGUAAUAUUAAAAUUAAUAACAAAUUUUGUGCCAGCAGUUGCGGUUAAACAAAAGUUAAAUUAAAUUAUAUUAGUAAUUAAUUAAUAAAUAAUAAAUAUAUUAUAAAUUUUAAAUUAUUAGGUGAAAUUUUAAUUUAAUAAAAAAUUAUUUUAAUUUUAUGAGUUAAUAAAUUUUUUUAAAAACUAGGAUUAGAUACCCUAUUAUUAAAAUUUUAAAAUUUAAAUACUAAAAUAGUAAAUAAUUAUUUAUUGAAACUUAAAUAAUAUGGCGGUAUUUUAGUUUAUUUAGAGGAAUCUGUUUAAUAAUUGAUAAUCCACGAAUAAAUUUACUUAAUUUAAAAUUUUGUAUAUCGUUGUUAAAAAAAUAUUUUUUAAUAAUAAUAAUAUUUAAAAAUUUAAAAUAAAUUUAAAUCAGAUCAAGAUGCAGAUUAUAAUUAAGAAUAUAAUGGAUUACAAUAAAUUUAUUUAAAUGAAUAUUAAUUUGAAAAAAUUAAUUGAAAUUGGAUUUAAAUGUAAUUUUAUUUAGUUUAAUAAAAUGAUUUUUAAUUAAAAUAUGUACAUAUUGCCCGUCGCUUUCAUAUAAUUAAUAAAUAUUUAAAAUUGAAAUAAGUCGUAACAAAGUAGAGGUACUGGAAAGUGUUUCUAGAAAGAC